rnacentral:rRNA from 1 species
CCUACGGGCGGCAGCAGUGAGGAAUAUUGGUCAAUGGACGCAAGUCUGAACCAGCAAUGCCGCGUGCAGGAAGACGGCCCUAGGAGUUGUAAACUGCUUUUGUACGAAGGUAAAUCCCGAUACGUGUAUCGGGUUGAAAGUAGCGUACGAAUAAGGAUGGGCAAACGCCGUGCCAGCAGCCGCGGUAAUACGGAGGAUUCAAGCGUUAUCAGGAUUUAUUGGGGUUAAAGGUUGCUUAGGCGGUUAGAUAAGUAAGAGGGGAACACCCGGGGCUCAACUCCGGCACUGCCUUUGAUACUGUCAGACUAGAGUGUAGUUGCGGUAAGCGGAAUGUAUGGUGUAGCGGUGGAAUGCAUAGAGAUCAUACAGAACACCGAAUGCGAAGGCAGCUUACCGAACUGCGACUGACGUUGAGGCACGAAAGCGUGGGGAGCAAACAGGAUUAGAUACCCCUGUAGUC